rnacentral:rRNA from 1 species
GACGAACGCUGGCGGCAGGCCUAACACAUGCAAGUCGAGCGGACCUUUCGUGGUCAGCGGCGGUCGGGUGAGUAACGCGUGGGAAUAUGCCCUUCUCUACGGAAUAGUCCUGGGAAACUGGGGGUAAUACCGUAUACGCUCUUCGGGGGAAAGAUGUAUCGGGGAAGGAUUAGCCCGCGUUGGAUUAGGCUGUUGGUGGGGUAAUGGCCUACCAAGCCGACGAUCCUUAGCUGGUUUGAGAGGAAGAGCAGCCACACUGGGGAUGAGACACGGCCCAGAAUCCUACGGGAGGCAGGAGAGGGGAAUCUUAGACAAUGGGGGCAGCCCUGAUCUAGCCAUGCCGGGUGAGUGAUGAAGGCCUUAGGGAUGUGAAGCUCUUUCAGCUGGGAAGAUAAUGACGGUACCAGCAGAAGAAGCCCCGGCUAACUCCGUG